AAUAAUAAUUACAUAGACCUAAUCAAGACAGAAAUAUCAGAGUCUACUGUCACUAAAAACAAAAAAAGCAGUAAUUAAUUUACAGAGAUAGAGGAGAUCCGAGAUGCAGCUAACAACCAGCUGAUCGCGAUAAUAUUGAUACUCACUAAAAGAACGUCCUGCUUAAAUAGCUUCUUCGAUAAAGAAUCAAAAUAAUCAAAUAAAAAAGAAAGUUAUCAGUUUACGGAGAUCAUACAACAUACAAAUAUAUAUGGAGCUAUUUGCAGUCUACAUUUGAAGGAAAAGGUGAAAUAAAUGGAGAUGAUACCCACAAAUGAUAAAUGGCUUCUUCACAGCCACCAUGAAUUCAUAAGAAAGCGCAAAGUGAGAGAAAAGAAAAAAAAUGGUCACAGUACAUUUACACCGAAUGAAGUUAUUUGCCGAAUCAAUAUUUCAUAAUAG